UAAAUCCAGUGCUUUUUAUAGAUCAUAGAUAAUUUAUAACAUUUAUUUAUUUUCACAGACCAUUUUUAACUCUUCCAAGUAGUAGAAAUGUAAGAUGUGAGCAAUAGCAACACAAGGAAUAUGCUUCUCAAAACUCACAUGGAGUAAAUCCAGGAGAGCUGCAGCUCCAAACACUUGAGGAAAUUGGAUACCUCAUUAUUCCAGGGAGCUUGUGGAAGUGUUUGUGUCUGUUUGUGUGCACAGUGAACAAUGCCAUGGACUAUUCACUGGAGUGAUAAAUUGUGCUUACUCCCAUGUCAGAGAAAGAGUUUCAGCCCUUUUUAACCUGGAGGCCUUCAGCCCAGUCCACCAUGGAUCACCUCAAGAGAUAUUAGUUAUUUUUUGUGAGGAAAAAGAGGGAAAGAGUGAAAACAAUGAGUUCCGAUUAGAUGCUAGGAUAAACAAAGAGUGA
rnacentral:lncRNA from 1 species